AGCAAAUCUUUUAAUUAAAAUGAACCAAAGCUUUGAAUUCUGCUAGGGUAUCAUUUAGCAGCCACCGAACCACCAUCCAAUUUGGUGGUCGAUGGUGCGCCAACAAUGACUAAAUACUACCAACGAAGGCCACACCCAUGGAGAGCUGGUUCUAUGGAAGUGUGGGACUGCUGUACGGAGGAGGAGGUCGUGGAGGCUGUGCGUGGGAACCAUUCGUGGGAGCCCGAUCUACUGCUAUUCUAGUGUAUUCCAGAAACCUCUAGGGUUUCUGGUGUUUUCUGUUGUUGGGCCUUUUUAGGUCAUUUUGGGUUUGGGCCAUUGUAAUUAGGUCUAAGUUUUGGGCUGGGAUUUGGGCUGUUUGUUAAUUGGGUAAGUCUUAGUAACUGGGCUAAGUGGUUUGGGUUUAAUGGUUAAGUUGGGUUUUAAUGUUUGGGCUGUUAUUUUUUGGGGUGUAAAUGGACUUUGGACCCAUAAAUAAUUUGGUUUAUUGUUUA